CUGCUGCACUGCUAAUAUGCUAACUGCUGAAGACACCUGCUGCUACCUGCUGCUCACUGUUGCUGGAAGUGGAGUUUACCUGUCCUGCUGUCAGCUUUGGAUCAUUGUGUGUCACUGCUUCACAUCACCAAGAUGGAGCCGGUUUACCACUCUCCACUGAGCACUGGAUGAAAAUCAGUCACAGUAGAAAGAAAAGUGACAACCUUGGCAGAGAUGGCCUUCGUCUUCUGAACAACAGAUUGCAACCCACAUGGUCCUGUGCAGGGAAGGCUGCCUCAGCUUUUUAACCGGCAUCUGCUCUCUGUUCUAUGUUCUCUGUUCUCUGUUUGAUCCCCAGCAUGGCACAGCACUUCUUCUAUUAUGUUACCAAACUGCGAUAUGGCAGCUAUGACACAACAUGUCCCCCUGGCAUCAGGUCUACUCCCCUAAAAUCUCAAGUGCCACUUCACAGACGUGUGGCUAAUUUGGAGCAGCGAAUCAAGAAGUCACAGAGCAGAUCAUGUUGCAAAACACACAGCCAUGCAAGGCUUUUCUGUGGGCCAGUGGCUAGGUAGAAAGAAAAAAAAAAUCUGUGUCUGCUUUGAAGAUGAUUCCAAAUGAAAUCUGUGCCAGUUAAAGCUCCUUUGAAAAUG